UUGACAGCCCUGGAGACUGAAAUCCUCUAUUUAUCCACAGGACAGGUACAGCACAGGCAGCGACAGUGCGAGCUUUCCCCACACCACCCCGUCCAUGUGCCUCAACCCUGACCUGGAGGGACCACCUCUAGAGGUGAGAGGGGAUGUUCAGUCUCCAAGGCUCACUCAAUCCUUCCGCCUCA
ensembl:misc_RNA